CACCCGCAGCGCGGCGGCGCGGAGGGGCGAGCAGGCGGGGCCGCCCGGUACCCCGCGAACAGGAGAUUGCCUCUAGAAGACAGAACCCUCUUAUUUAAGCACAGGAGCAAAGCCACAGCAACAGCAGUGCAAAAUGCACUACAGAUCAGCUGGCAAGGUUGUUCAUUCUGCUAACAAAACUCCCCCAGUUCGUCCUUUGAUAUCUCUAACAAACUCCUCCACCCGCCCACAGCUGCCCAGUGCAGCUCCUGUGCUCUGUGGCAAACCUCAAGGCAGGUGCAGAGAAAUAUGUACCUCUCCAGAAAUGCUGCAGUGGUACUAACUAUCACAAGCCUUUCUUGUCGGGAAAGGAAGACUAGCCUAAUUCUGGGCCCACUGACACACGGUGCAAUAAAAAGGAAAUGAGGAGAGCAUCACAAGAUCCUUACUGCCACACUAACGUUGUCAAAACCAAACCUGCAGUGGGGUUGAAGGGCUGCUCUGUCAUUCCAGUGCCUUCAGUUUUAACUCAUCAUCUUCACCAAACUGUAGCAUGCAUGUAGGAGGCCAUAACUCACGGACUUCCUUCUCCCAUCGAUAAUCAUGUGACGUUUUAAAACAGCAGUCUAAAUUUAGCCCUGGAAAGAUAUGUUACUGAUUUCUGUAAGUGCUGUGACCCCCAAAAAAUAAUUCCUUGAUGUUGUCAUUUCCUCUUCAGCCUCUGCAAGAAGGAGGUUAGUGUGACGUGAAAACAUACAAACACAAGUUUGUAACAUUGAAACUUAGGCCACCAACUUAGUUAACAACUGAACUCACUCAUCAGGUCAAGGCUAUCUCCAGAAGUUUUGAGAUGUUGAUCUUUUUUCGAGGUUUCUCUAGUAGGAUCACCCACGUCAUUGCCAGCUUGAACUCAACUCUCUUUUGCCCUGUAAAAAAAAACAAAACAAAAAAAAACCCAUGGAAACUUCUUGUGAUCAUCGGUAUCACCAGCAAGGCAAACAACUGCACUUUUGUAGCUUCACGGGGAUAUCUGAAUACAUCCCAAUUUUGCUCUCAGCAAAGAAAGUCUGCACGAAGGCCAGCUGAAGGGUAUAAGUUCUCAGUAGGCAGAGGGUAGAUGAGUGGUGUCAGGUUCCUUUUGUUGUUUUCCUGCGUCUUCUGUUCCUUUGCCAUAUCCACAAUCUCACCCAGCCUCGUCCUAAUUAUGCUGAGUACUUCCUGGUUCCUUCUGUGCCUUUUGUGCCGUCUCUACAUUCAGAUAGUCUGUUGGUCUGUUUUGCUGGAUGUGUUUUCCUUCUCUCUGUAAUUGAAACUUUCUUGAAGUGUUCAGAAGGAAGAUUGUAUCAGUGUGUGUGCUCUCCAUAUCAUUAUCUCUGAGAGCACGCUGAGAAAAGCAGGGAUUCUGACGUGCUUUCCCACAGCACCAUAUUCUUCAUGAUUACUUAAUUUAUUCCUUCUGCAGACACACCAGGCUCAAUAAACCUUCAGGUACUUCUGUUGCUGGGAUGUUGUUCUUGCUCAUCUCUCGCCGAGCUUCAGGGAUAAGCAGUGUCAAGGCAGAAAGCAAACUGAUAGGCGACAGAGUUCUAAAAUUCUGAGUUUUCUAGAGGAUGCAAAUUGUUUCCUUUUACUACCUGACAGUGCAACACAAGUAACUUGCCAUGGCAACCAGUUUACGAGACAGAAAAAAAGUGAGCACCCCCAGGUGCUUUGUUACUGCAGUAAGGGAAGAGGCUGAGACCUUACCCUUUUUGGUCUCCAUUGAGCUGCACGUCAUCUAGGUAAGCCGUCAGUAGAAAUUUAUGCUGUGUUUGGUGCAAGUUAGCUGCUGCAUGAGCCUCUUUGAUACUUGGAUCAAAACUGAAGUGCAGUCAGAAGGAAAGAAGGAAGUGCUCAGAAGAAUUGAAACAAAGCUGGAUUCUCAGAAGCACAAGGCCUAAUCCAUAUCCGCAACAAGCUGACGCAACUCUGCAGAUGCCAGUAAGAGAUGAACCUGUUUCUUCAGAAAUUAAUUUGGUUUCCAUCCUCUGGCAGUCUCGGUUCUUUUCCCAAUUUCUUUCAAGAAAACUCUGCUCUGCAGAGCUGGGAGUAUUCUGGAGUUAUCUGGGACAGAAGAUGGCAUAGGCUCGCAGAGUCUGUGUUCACAUCCAUUCUCUUUACAGAGAUGCUUCUGGGAAGGGCAGACUUUUUGGUAUGCAGCUUACUUGUGUUGGUGAGAGAACUGAGAAAAGACAAAGUCACGUGGUUAAGGACAGCGAGGGAAAACCCUCCUAACUGCAAGGAGAGCAAAACUGAUCUCCGUUAGCUCAGAGGAGGAGGACUGUGGAAGCUGCUAUAUGUGCAAGUGUUCCUAGAAGCCAGUGUGCUUAAGGGGUGUACUUCUAACAGCUCUCCUGCAGCUAUCAGCACAUGCCGGUGGACUUGUUAUAGCACGCUGAACGGCACGUUCUUGCUGGCUCACUGGGGCCUGAUCCAAAGCUUACUGCAGGCAAUGAGGAAGAUUCGUGGACUUCUUCAGUGGCCUUUGGACUGCCCUGCGGACACAGAAGCACAAUGGCUGUGUUUCAAGUAAAGAGGAUGCUGGGAUGGAGUAUUUAGCUAACAGCGUAAUCAUGCAGUGAUGAACUGCGGAGUUCACAGCCAAAGAACUGAUCUGCAAGCAAUGCUGGAGGCCUCCCGGCAGACAGCAUGUCACGUCCACUGCCACGUGCUGUAUCCUUGAAAGCAGACUGUCACGAGGGGAGUUGGAGGUCUAGUUCAGCUUGAAAAGAUACAGCUUUGUAUGAAAUGCCAUAUGCUGCCUGACGAAGCUUUCCUUUAAGGUUGUACCUUAUGCAUUCGCGUAAGCCUGUGAAAAGGAGCAAAAACAAAUGCUUGGAUCUGAUUUCUGUCUUCCUCUGGAUCUUUGGAUCAGUUCUAACUCCCACCCAGCCUCAUUCAUUGAUUCUGAUGGUGGUAUCCGGAGCACCUGCUGUGGGCAAAACUGUUCUUACAUCAUCUUACAAACACAGUGACCUCAAACAUGAAAUCAUGAGGUUAAUACCAUACCCAAGGCUUCCAAUAAGGCCCUUUCCAGGGGUCUGGGCUGAGUUUUUGAAAACGCCAUGGUAAUUUCUAGCUCUUGAUCAACACAAGAAUUACCAAAGGUAGAAAGCGUUCUGCCGUACAAGAACACAAGAGAAUGGUCCAGCAGAGCAGCAGUCUGAAUGGGGGAGGUCAGAACCACAGUUUAAAUUACUCUCACCUUAGUUUUGAUUUUUGCCCUGUAUAAAAUGAUAGAGAAUAUAUUUGUUCUGCAUUAGCUACUUGGAAUAACGUGCUUUUGGAGGCACAGCUUUUGCCAUACCUGAUGUAUUUCACCUGGUAGCGUUUGCUGCAUCAACACCUUUUUUUUUGGUACAAAGUAUGAAAAAUUGAGAGUCGAAUCAGAAUGGGGAAAGCCUGAAGAUAAUCCAAGCAUGGACUAACAACCAAAUUCCCAUUCCUCCGCUUUCAAUCCAAAUGUAUAACACCGUGGCAGUGGUAGGAUGGGUAGUGAAAACUGAAUACUCAGAAAUGGAAGUUAUCCAGGAAGAAAGCAGAAUUUCAGGAACUUAAUACACUUUAAUUUGGCACUGAGUAUUUCUGCCUCACUGAACAAGAAGAAUAUCUCAAAAUCAUCACAUUUGGGAUGAUAUAGAAAUAGGGAUUACACACACCCAUCAGUCCGAACCUCAACAGCACAUAAUGUUUUAAAACAAAUUUUAACUGAAAGUGUAAUGAAAGACAAUGGAAAACAUGGCAGGAGUUUCCCAAAGGUGGAUUACAGCCGCCCCUUGUAACGGGGCUGGUGGGGAGAAAAGGGGGUGCUGAAUGACCACAAUGACCAUUGAGUUUCAACCCCCCUGCUAUGUGCAGGGUUGCCAACCACCAGACCAGGCUGCCCAGAGCCACAUCCAGCCUGGCCUUGAAUGCCUCCAGGGACUGAGAUGCGGCAUCCACGACCUCCUUGGGCAACCUGUUCCAGCAAUACUCAUCUCUGUUUCUGUUAGUGCCCUUUGAAAAAAAAAAACACUGAAGCAUGAUAAUGAUGUUUGGUAAUGAUUAAGCCACAUCAUCAAAAGAAGACUGGAAAAAGGGGACAGAGUGAUAAGAAUAGAAGAAAACACAGCGAUACAAAGUGCAAGGUCACACACUUACAUGCAUACUGAAGUGGGGAUUCCUACUCCCCCAAGGGAGGACAAAGACAGAGAGGAGUCUCAUCUUAUUAGCUUAUGAUUACAGAUGACCAAUUUGAUGUGACCUUGAUAACUCGAUCUCAGGAUAUACCAGACGUGGCAUUUCCAGCAAGAUAGGAUAGUAUAUAUUCCCCCAUAUGAGACACAUGGAGUAAAGGACGCUAUUCUGGUCACCUACCUUCAAGGAAAAAGAGCUAGAAAAGGAAAACUGGGAUGAUAAUACAAAUUGUGAGCUUGCCUUUUAUGAUGAAAGACUUUCAGUUUGGCUUGUAUGACUUAGCAAUAUAAAUGUCAAGAUGAGAUGAGAGCGGGCCCUAUAAAUACAUUGGGAAAACAAAUAUCAGAGAGGAGUUAUUUUUAGCCGGAAAAUAUUUUGGCAAAAGAACAGAUAGGUAUAAACUAGCAAUAAACAAUUGUAGUCUAUAAAUUAGAAGGUCUGCAACCAUCAGAGAGAGGCUUUUAAGAGGAGGAAGAAGAGACUGGCAGGUAUCUAAGUGACUUUGAUGUGGUUACCUGCAGUAGAAUUGGUUCCCCUAACCAGAAAGACCCUUCUCAUCCUGUAUUUCUAAGGUCUAGUGCAGUGGAAUUCCUAAAAGUUAAUUAUACAAGUAUCAACAGCAGUUGGCACUUAAUUAAUGAUAUUUAUUAGUAGGUGGAGUGACUGGUUGUUGUUCGGGUACGCUGUGACUGGAUAAAGCCACAGGGACAGUUGUAUCUCUUCUUCAGAAGACUCCAAGAGAGCAGCACGUCUGACCAGGCUUGGUUUUCAGAGAAAGGUUUGCCUGAUCCCUGUUCAUUUGCAUUGCAUCACUAUAAUUAAUCCAGUCUAACCUGUUCCAGUUCGUGGCACUCCUGCGAUGGCGAGAUCAGAAUCGGCUCCAACAUCUCUGAAGGGCUACGCCAUUUGUUCACACCGCAGUUCAACAGCUUUAAACAUCUCGUGGCAAAGCUGCGGUACAACUGCUCUAAAGCUUCACGUAUGUACAACGUGAUUCCUGGAUAGAGAUCACUUCAGCUCCACAGUUAUUAAUUCACAGGUUUCUCGCUGACCUUAGCUCAGCUCUGGGAGUGGUGCCAGAACAAUUACAGUAACUCCGAGCAGCGCAGGCAUAAAGCUCCUGUAUUUACUCUGAAAUUGUGCCAGGUUUUCUCUGGCUCGCUGAUGGAAAGAUGCAUUUCUUCUUUGAUUAGUUUCAAAUAGUUCAGCCUGGCUCGGCUGUAACAAGGUUAUUUCAGCAACAAACGGAGAAGAAAUAAGCUACCAUGCAGAGGUGUGCAUACACUAUAUGCUUGCUGUGUAGGUAACGUUAUAGAAAUGCAAGCCAAGAAGGGGGAAAGCAAGUCAAGGAGCACGCUGAGGCCCACCUCCUUCCUUCCUGCAAAGGUCGGGCAGCUGGAGGCAGUGACACCAGGUGAAGCUGAGCAUGCUCAUCACUUGGGAAACCCAGGCCCCUGGUGAUCUUCUCUGACGUUAAUUGACUGUCAGACCCUGCAAGAGGGGAGGCAACACCUUUCCUGAUCUGUGGUCUGGAGUAGUGUUUUCCAGACUCUGGAGUGAAUUUCACGUUGUUGCAAAGGAAACGAUGAUGCAGUCCUCCAGCAGCUGCUGUGCUCCAGCAUCCUUGCAAAGGUACACUAUGUACUUUGUGGGUGUAUGUGUGUAUGCAAGCUGCAUAUUCAAAAUCCCUAUUUUUCAUAAGAGCAGGCGGGCCUCCAGGUCUCCCCUCCAGACCUACCUUCCUAUCCCCAACAGAAACGCUG
ensembl:lncRNA